rnacentral:rRNA from 1 species
GAGUUUGAUCCUGGCUCAGGAUGAACGCUAGCGGCAGGCCUAAUACAUGCAAGUCGAACGAUAGAUAGAAGCUUGCUUUUAUCGAAAGUGGCGCACGGGUGCGUAACGCGUGUGCAACCUACCUUUAUCAGGGGGAUAGCCUCUCGAAAGAGAGAUUAACACCGCAUAAAAUCACAAGCUGGCAUCAGCAAAUGAUCAAAUAUUUAUAGGAUAAAGAUGGGCAUGCGUGACAUUAGUUUGUUGGUGAGGUAACGGCUCACCAAGACUACGAUGUCUAGGGGAUCUGAGAGGAUGACCCCCCACACUGGUACUGAGACACGGACCAGACUCCUACGGGAGGCAGCAGUAAGGAAUAUUGGUCAAUGGGGGCAACCCUGAACCAGCCAUGCCGCGUGCAGGAAGACGGCCCUCUGGGUUGUAAACUGCUAUUAUCCGGGAAUAAACCCUUUUACGUGUAAGAGGUUGAAUGUACCGGAAGAAUAAGGAUCGGCUAACUCCGUGCCAGCAGCCGCGGUAAUACGGAGGAUCCAAGCGUUAUCCGGAUUUAUUGGGUUUAAAGGGUGCGU